AUAAAUGAAUACGUUAUACCGUAGACAGCAGGUGCGGAACUCCGCUUAAUUUCCUGCCGAGGUGUGUGAAUAAACGGAGCAGCGCACAUGUUGCCCUGUUCUGUCAUACGUACCUCCAUGUCUGCAUGGAGGUACUUUUUAUGUAACCCU
rfam:Halobacillus sp. BBL2006 cont310, whole genome shotgun sequence.